AAGACUUGAUUUUUGAAAUAAUUUUCUGUAUGAUUAAAAAUGAUGGAACAGCUGUAAGCUGGUCGAAAUGAUAUGUUUGGAGAGAUAAAAGUAUGGCAAGUAUUAUGUACACCCCUAAAGAUAUUUUUGAACAAGAAUUUAAAUCUAGCAUGCGUGGCUAUGACAAAAAAGAAGUUGACGAAUUCCUUGACGAUAUUAUUAAGGAUUAUGAAACCUAUAUUUCCACAAUCGAAGAAUUGCGUCAAGAAAAUACGCGCUUAAAAGAAGAAGUAAAACAAGCUAAAAAACGUCAAGAGGCCGCUCAAACAACAGUAUCUCCAGCAGCUUCUGUAAGUUCUAGUCGUGUGGCGACUACCGCUACAAAUUUUGAUAUUUUAAAACGUAUCAGUCGUUUAGAAAAAGAAGUUUUUGGUAAACAAAUUACCGAAUAGAUUAAGAAAACGAUGCAAUUUUUGGAUAAUCGCGUGGUAAAUAUUGCAAUUUUAUCAUGAGGAAAGUCCAUGCUAGCACUGGCUGUGAUGCCAGUAGUGUUUGUGCUAGACAAAAAAAUAAGUCUAGGGAUGUGCUUUGCGCAUUACGGCGGAUAAAAUGGCUAAGUCUUUGAUAGGCCGGAGUAAUUCUGAAAGUGCCACAGUGACGUAGCUUUUAUGGAAACAUAAAAGGUGGAACGCGGUAAACCCCUCAAGCUAGCAACCCAAACUUUGGUAGGGGCAUGGAAAAGCUGGAAAAAGAACGGUCUUUUCUGACUGCAUAAGCAGUAGACAGAUGAUUAUCAAAAAAGGUGGUACCUAGUCACCUUUGGAACAAAACAUGGCUUAUAGAA
rnacentral:RNase_P_RNA from 1 species